rnacentral:lncRNA from 1 species
GACCGGAGCGCGCUCAAAGGCUGCCGGUCCAAAGGAGAGUCCAAUUCUUCAAACUUCAAAUGACAGUCCGAAGAUCCACUAGUUAACUUAAUCUGGACUAUACGAGGAGUUCUAACAACUGACAAAAGACGGCGGCAUUCCUCCGGAACUUGUGAAGCUCUAGUUUCUGUCUAGGAAAAUGACUCAUUUCCCUUUCCUCCAGCAAAAGUGACUUAUGGCUCUCCAAUUAACAUGUCAGCACAAGGUGCAAGCCCGGCAGCCUCCAGACUCCCUCAGUCCCUACAAGCACUUAUACAUUUCAAAGCCUGCUCACCAGUCCCCUGGCCCUUCCCACCCGCCCACCGAUUACUCAUUCUUCUUGUUCACUCUUCUCCGCUCCUGCUGCUGCUUUUCUCAAUAAGCUUCCCCUAUUUUCUAUCAGUGGCCAUUUUCCCGUUUCUUGUAGACAGUCCUGGCAAAGCCCAGUCUGCUACACAUGGUCAAUCUACUACUUUCUCUCUCUGCCCUGGACUCUCCAGAUCCCUGUGGCUGUUCUCACUCUCAUGUCUCCAAUAAAAACCUUAGCCAUAA